rnacentral:rRNA from 1 species
AUUGAACGCUGGCGGCAGGCCUAACACAUGCAAGUCGAACGGUAACAGGAAACAGCUUGCUGUUUCGCUGACGAGUGGCGGACGGGUGAGUAAUGUCUGGGCAACUGCCUGAUGGAGGGGGAUAACUACUGGAAACGGUAGCUAAUACCGCAUAACGUCGCAAGACCAAAGAGGGGGACCUUCGGGCCUCUUGCCAUCGGGUGUGCCCAGAUGGGAUGAGCUAGUAGGGGGGGUAACGGCUCACCUAGGCGACGAGCCCUAGCUGGUGUGAGAGGGUGAGCAGCCACCCUGGAAGUGAGACACGGUCCAGACUCCUACGGGAGGCAGCAGUGGGGAAUAUUGCACAAUGGGCGCAAGCCUGAUGCAGCCAUGCCGCGUGUAUGAAGAAGGCCUUCGGGUUGUAAAGUACUUUCAGCGGGGAUGAAGGGAGUAAAGUUAAUACCUUGGCUCAUUGACGUUACCCGCAGAAGAAGCACCGGCUAACUCCGUG